CCUACGGGUGGCAGCAGUGAGGAAUAUUGGUCAAUGGGCGCAACCCUGAACCAGCCAAGUAGCGUGAAGGAUGACUGCCCUACGGAUUGUAAACUUCUUUUAUAGAGGAGUAAAUUACGGCACGUGUGCCUUUUUCUCUGUCCUUUAUGAAUAAGGAUCGCCUAACUCCGUGCCAGCAGCAGCGGUAAUCCGGAGUUACCGUGCGUUAUCCGGAUUUAUUGGGUUUAAAGGGUGCGUAGAUGGAUUGUUAAGUCAGUUGUGAAAGUUUGGGGCUCAACCGUAAAAUUGAAGUUGAGGCUGGCAGUCUGGAUUACAGUAGAGGUGGGCGGAAUUCGUAGUGUAGCGGUGAAAUGCGUAGAUAUCACGAAGAACUCCGAUUGCGAAGACAGUUCACUGGACUGUAACUGACACUGAGGCUCGAAAGUGUGGGGAUCAAACAGGAUUAGAUACCCCAGUAGUC
rnacentral:rRNA from 1 species